AUCCUCCAAGGCUAAAUACUCCUGACUGACCGAUAGUGAACCAGUACCGUGAGGGAAAGGCGAAAAGAACCCCGGCGAGGGGAGUGAAAAAGAACCUGAAACCGUGUACGUACAAGCAGUGGGAGCCUCUUUUAUGGGGUGACUGCGUACCUUUUGUAUAAUGGGUCAGCGACUUAUAUUCUGUAGCAAGGUUAACCGUAUAGGGGAGCCGGAGGGAAACCGAGUCUUAACCGGGCGUUAAGUUGCAGGGUAUAGACCCGA
rnacentral:rRNA from 2 species